AUGCUGUCUGUGCAUGGGUCUGACCCUCUCCUGAGCAGGCCCGGGAGUCCGGCUAUCUGUUAGGCCUGGCCCCCAGCCCGGGGCUCACCUGCUGGAGGCACCUUCUGGAAGCUGAAGUUUCCUGCUGCACAUCGCUCUGCUGAGGCCCUGUGGGGAGGGCAGCGCCGGUUUUUCAGGCAGCGAUAGAAGGGCUAACAAUGGGGGGAAGUGCCUCAUUGACCUGCUUUCUUUCCUAGUUAUCACUAAGAAAACAGGCUCCGUGGAAGCUGGGGUUAUCUCAAAGGCUGCUCCAUGAGUGGGGGAUGAGGGCGUCCGCUCUCCUGGAAAUGCUCAGGUCCGGCCUCUGCCCCAGGGCAGGCGGCCUCCAGGAGCUAAGAGUAGGAAGGAGCAUAGAGACCUCUGUCCUGCAACUUCCAGAAGAAAAUUCCCCCAGCAAUUGGGAGCUGAAAAGUGGCCCUCAGCCCAUAGAAGUCUCACAGCCCUGGCCGGUGCCAUGAAUUCAGCCUGCUAAGACCCGAAAGUGAAGUUGCAACAUGCCCAGGCCACUGACCUGUGGAAACUGAGCUGAGGGUUGGUGCUACUCUCAGCGCCUGUGCUCAUGGAAAUUUGUUAUUCAGCAACAGGAAAUUAGUGCAAAUAGAAAAGGCUGCCUCAAACAUGGUCAUGGACACUGCCAUGUUCCAGCCCCAGGAAUAAGACACAAAUGGUUCUCGUGAGCGCUCGGCCGUCCAUCAAAGCAAGCCUUGAUUCCACACAGGAGAGAAAUCUGAUGACUCAGGCCCUGGGGCCUUUUGGGUUCAGGAUAAUCGUGAGUUUGUUAUACUGAAUUUCUUAACAGGAAUUUAAUGAACAAGUUCCCUGUUUUGAAUUCCAGUUCCAUUUAUUAGUCAGGGUGAAGGGAGGCUGCUGUAACAAGGAGCCCCACUACACCGUUGCUUAAAAUACAGGCCUGCGCCCACCUCCUCCUGCAGGGGCACCAGGCAGGCGGCCCUCCCCGUCCCCCGUGGCAACUGUCUCCAGGCCGCGCUUGGCAAUAGCGGGAAAUAAAAUGACGAAGGUUA
rnacentral:lncRNA from 1 species